AUUGAACGCUGGCGGCAUGCUUUACACAUGCAAGUCGAACGGUAACAGUUUGCUUGCACCGCUGACGAGUGGCGAACGGGUGAGUAAUGCAUCGGAAUGUACCGUGUAAUGGGGGAUAGCUCUGCGAAAGCCGGAUUAAUACCGCAUACGCCCUGAGGGGGAAAGUGGGGGACCGAAAGGCCUCACGUUAUACGAGCAGCCGAUUUCUGAUUAGAUAGUUGGUGAGGUAAAGGCUCACCAAGGCGUCGAUCAGUAGCGGGUCUGAGAGGAUGAUCCGCCACACUGGGACUGAGACACGGCCCAGACUCCUACGGGAGGCAGCAGUGGGGAAUUUUGGACAAUGGGCGCAAGCCUGAUCCAGCCAUGCCGCGUGUCUGAAGAAGGCCUUCGGGUUGUAAAGGACUUUUGUCCGGGAGCAAAUCCUAGUGGUUAAUACCUACUGGGGCUGAGAGUACCGGAAGAAUAAGCACCGGCUAACUACGUG
rnacentral:rRNA from 1 species